rnacentral:rRNA from 1 species
AGUGAACGCUGGCGGUAGGCCUAACACAUGCAAGUCGAACGGCAGCACAGUAAGAGCUUGCUCUUACGGGUGGCGAGUGGCGGACGGGUGAGGAAUACAUCGGAAUCUACUUUUUCGUGGGGGAUAACGUAGGUAAACUUACGCUAAUACCGCAUACGACCUACGGGUGAAAGCGGGGGAUCUUCGGACCUUGCGCGAUUGAAGGAGCCGAUGUCGGAUUAGCUAGUUGGCGGGGUAAAGGCCCACCAAGGCGACGAUCCGUAGCUGGUCUGAGAGGAUGAUCAGCCACACUGGAACUGAGACACGGUCCAGACUCCUACGGGAGGCAGCAGUGGGGAAUAUUGGACAAAGGGCGCAAGCCUGAUCCAGUCAUACCGCGUGGGUGAAGAAGGCCUUCGGGUUGUAAAGCCCUUUUGUUGGGAAAGAAAAGCAGCAGGUUAAUACCCAGCUGUUCUGACGGUACCCAAAGAAUAAGCACCGGCUAACUUCGUG